rnacentral:tRNA from 1 species
AAGGAUUUAAGUUAAAUAAACUAUUAACCUUCAAAGUUAACAUUAGAGAGAAAAUUUUCUAAGCCUUA